rnacentral:rRNA from 1 species
AGAGUUUGAUCCUGGCUCAGAUUGAACGCUGGCGGCAUGCCUUACACAUGCAAGUCGAACGGCAGCACGGGAGCAAUCCUGGUGGCGAGUGGCGAACGGGUGAGUAAUAUAUCGGAACGUGCCCAGUCGUGGGGGAUAACGCAGCGAAAGCUGUGCUAAUACCGCAUACGAUCUCUGGAUGAAAGCGGGGGACUCGCAAGGGCCUCGCGCGAUUGGAGCGGCCGAUAUCAGAUUAGCUAGUUGGUGGGGUAAAAGCCCACCAAGGCGACGAUCUGUAGCUGGUCUGGGAGGACGACCAGCCACACUGGAACUGAGACACGGUCCAGACUCCUACGGGAGGCAGCAGUGGGGUAUUUUGGACAAUGGGCGCAAGCCUGAUCCAGCAAUGCCGCGUGCAGGAUGAAGGCCUUCGGGUUGUAAACU